rnacentral:lncRNA from 1 species
CCAAGUGAUGGUGGGAGGUUUUCCAAACCUGUGAAAUUUCCUUCGUUGCUGAUAAUUGUUUUUGUUUUUAGUUAUAUUCAUGUUUGUAGUUUACUAAAUAAUAUCAAUGGAUGGUUUACUAAAUACUUAUAUGUGGCAGAACUUGAAUCAUCCCUUCAUAUUUACUAAGUUAAUAUUUUGCACAACAAGUUAUGAUAAAAUAGUGAUAGUUUUGGUGGACUUUGUCGAGGUGUUUCUGUUUUUUGUGGUGUUCUCUCGAGGGGCAGCAGGCUGUGUAGUGCCUCUGUGUUGGCUGCGUGAGGCUGCUGCUAUUUUAGGUAGCAGGUUUUUGGUUUUGUCACUCGGAACCGUUGUGAUGUUGGUGUUUUAGGGGCUGCAUCUCUUUUGUUUUGUGCCUAGCCUUUUUCUUUUGUUUUCUUUCUGUAAUCAUGAGGCAGGCGUAUGCGUUUGAUUUGUGUUUUAUAGGGUCCUGAUGUUGUUUAUAGCUCACUGGUUUAGCAAUAGCAUAUUACAUGAAGAAUUUUCCAAUUAGGCAUUUGGAUCUGUAAGCCAUAGAUGAUACUACUUCUCCAAAAAAAAAUUAAAUGCAUCUUAAAUCGCCCUAGAUGUUUAAGAACUGCAUCUAACAUCACUAUAUGUUCUGUGUUUCAUAUUUCAACCACAAGUAAUCUAUCUUCUAUGAGUGGUCAAGGGACCCAAAUAAUUGUUUGGUGCGGUAGCGAAUUUGUUUUGUUUCUAUUCGGCUGCUGAGUAUUCUGCAUCUGUUUAAUGGGGUAACAGAAUUUUAGUUCAAUAUUGGGGUUGGUUGGUGGUGUUACAGGGCUGGACUAUUUUCGAAGUGUUUUACUAAUUGCAACCUCAUAUACCUUACUAUUUUUCCUUUGGUUCAAGUUGUUUCCCUUUUCUUGAGAUUUAUUAUUUGGUAUUGUUAUUUUCAAUGUUGCAGGUUGUACAACAAGGUCUACAAAGGUUUGCUGUGUAUAUAAGUUUGCAACAGGCGUAAACACCCCACCCAACAAGACAACACUGUACACAAAGCAGGCCUACUGCCCAGCCACAUAGAAGCUGCGAACAGGAGCUGCUGCAUACCCAUAAAUUAUACAAAAAAACUCCCACAAAACAGCAACAAACAAACAGCAGCAUCCCCCUCCAACAGAAACAGGCAACAAACAAUGCAAGUAUGUGACAAAGGACUACUAACUAAAGGAUGUAUUACAGUAGCAACAUAAAUUAUGAAUUCUACCGUUUUGACAAUCAAUGAAACAAUUUCAAUACGUUAAUAUGUAAUUACUAUGAUGUGGCUGGGUCAAGUACAAGUAAAAUAGGAUGUUUACUUUUUUUUUAAGCAUGUAAUUAGGCGUUUAAUGUAGUUUUAUUUUGUUGGUUGUAAUGAUUAUACAUUAGAGAUGGAGUUUGAGCUUCUAUGCUAAGCUCUAUAUUGUUAAAAAAAAGGCUUAAAUGCGUUUUUGGUCCCUUAAGUAUUUAUUUGGUAUCGUUUUGGUCCCUUAACUAAAAAAAAGAUUGUUUGAGUAUUUUAUCUUUAUCUCCGUUACCUGUUUUGGUCCCUUCCGUUAAAUAAAUUCAAAAAAAUGUUAGGGUUUAUAUUAUUCAUCUUCUUCCUUCUCCCUCCAUCUUCCUCUUCAUGAUCUUCAUCAUCAACAACACACCAACCCAAGAAAAAAAAAAAAUACUUUUUCAUCAUCAUGAGUCCAUUUUACCGGCAAGGCGAAAAUUCUCUUUUCGAAAUUUUCCACGACAGCGUACUCAGUCGGGUAUAUCUUAGUCCA